UUGGCUGAUGGAGGAUUUCCAAGAAGAUAUUCUUGUCAUCAAAGAUGUGAUCCUCUAAGAUGAGAAGAUAUUCUUCAUAUCAAGAUAUGAUCCUCUAAGAUCUUAGUAUAAUUGUGGUAAUCUAGAAUAUCAUAUCUCUGAUUCUUUCUCUUAAUGUAAAGAUUUAGGUGAUUCUAUUCCACAAUCUUUUAUGUAUAUAUAAAGCCAUGUACAUGACAUAGAAAAAUAUGAAUGAAAUUAUUCAAUAAUCUUAUUCCACAUGGUAUCAGAGCUUUAGGCUUAUUCCUGGCCAAUUUUAUUCAUCCUAUCUUGAAAAAUCCCAUUUUGCUAUCUUUAUCUGCCCAAACCAUGUCUGAAAAUGGUACUGCCGCAAAUAUUCCAGUCUCUGAAAAUGUUUCUGCAACCAUAGAGAAUAACUCUACAGUUUCAAUUGGAGAUUUGCAACAUUCAGCUUCAACAGGUAGUUGUUCAUUGGCCUUCACAGGUAUUUCUUACUCUUUUAUUACUAAUGUCUCAGACAAACUUUCUCCAACGUGGGUGGUUGAUUCCGGGGCAACUGAUCACAUGACCAGUCUCUUUCAUCUCUUCAUAUCAUAUUCCCCUUGUCCUAGCUAUAAAAAAAUAACUAUAGCUGAUGGUUCAGUUAUUACUGUAGCUGGGCAAGGAGACAUACCACUUGGAAAAUCCUUGAUACUUAAAGAUGUCCUUCAUAUCCCAAAGUUAUCUGCAAAUCUCAUUUCUGUCCAGAAACUCACCAAAGAUUCCAAAUGCCAAGUAACUUUCUUCCCUUCAUAUUGCUUAUUUCAGGAACAGAACACGAAGGAGAUGAUUGGGCGUUAUUCCAAAUGCCAAGUAACCUUCUUCCCUUCAUAUUGCUUAUUUCAGGAACAGAACACGAAGGAGAUGAUUGGGCGUGCUAGUGAGAAAGGUGGUCUUUAUUGUUUGGAUUUCCACAAUGGUGAAUAUAUAUCUAAGAAUUCCUUGUCUAGUUCAUUCUUGUCUGAAUCUAUCAUGUCCAAUAAAGAGAAAGUAUGGCUUUAUCAUCGUCGGUUAGGUCACCCUUCCUUUUAUGUAAUCAAAAGGAUGUUCCCAUCUUUGUUCAAAGAUUUGAUUGUCGAGUCUUUUCAUUGUGAUGAUUGUGAAAUUGCAAAACACAAACGUACUUCCUUUCCAAUUAGUCACAAAAGAUGUCAAACUCCAUUCUCUCUUAUUCAUAGUGAUAUUUGGGGACCCUCUCCCAUUCCUAAUAUUUCUGGUGCUAGAUGGUUUGUAUCAUUCAUUGAUGAUUGUACAAGAGUUACGUGGAUCUAUUUGCUAAAGCAAAAAUCAGAUGUCAGUCAAAUUCUUCCUACCUUUUUUAAUAUGAUCAAAACCCAAUAUGAUGUGCCAAUUAAAAGAUUUCGAUCCGAUAAUGCCAAGGACUACUUCAAUCAAAACCUCUCUGUUUUCUUCCAAAAAGAGGGAAUUAUUCAUGAAUCUUCAUGUGUCAAUACUCCUCAACAAAAUGGGAUAGCAGAGAGAAGAAAUGGUCUGUUACUUGACAUUACUAGAUCAUUAUUGUUUCACAAAAAGGUGCCAAAACAGUAUUGGGGGGAAGCUGUCCUAACUGCUGCACAUCUUAGUAACAGAAUGCCAUCAAGAAUUCUGAACUUUCAAAGUCCGCUUGAUACUCUCAGGAAUUUCUUUCCAAAUUUUGAAAUUUCCAAUAAGUUGGUUCCUAGAAUCUUCGGAAGUGUUGCCUAUGUUCAUAUUCAUUCCCAAAAUAGAGGCAAAUUAGACCCACGUGCUCUUAAGUGUGUUUUCAUAGGAUAUUCUCCUACUCAAAAAGGUUACAAGUGUUAUCAACCAUCAUCAAAGAAAUUCUUUGUUUCCGCAGAUGUCACAUUUGAUGAGAGUGAAUCCUUUUUUAAUCAUUCUUACAAUCAGGGGGAGUCACUGAAAGGAAAGGAACCUCUAGACUUGUCACUAUUGGAUUUGUCCAUUUCUAGUCGUGCCAAAUUCUUGCCUGAGUCACCAUUGCUACAGUCACCUGAGUCUCUAAAUCCAAAUGAACCCAUUGAGUCUCCUAAUCCAAAUAUAGAUAAUGGAAUUCUAGAAAAUAAUCUACCAUUGCAGGUAUAUUCCAGAAGAAAGAGACUAACUGAUCAAACUACUCGGUUGCAAUCAUCUCCUCAGGUUACUGCUCCUGAUACCCAUCCUGAACUUGUUGAACCGUCAGAAACACCAAACCAAACUGAUCAUGAAGAACCUAACCAACCUACCUGAUACCCAUCCUGAACUUGUUGAACCGUCAGAAACACCAAACCAAACUGAUCAUGAAGAAGAAUUUAACCAACCUAAUGUCCUUGACCUUCCCAUUGCAAUCAGAAAAGGAACCAGAACUUGCACACAACACCCUUUGAGCCUCUCCAUGACAUAUCAAAAUCUAUCCCCAAGUCAUAAAGCUUUUCUCUGUAACCUCCACACAAUUCCUAUCCCCAGAAAUUUGUCUGAAGCAUUAGGAAAUAAAGAAUGGGAGAAAGCUAUGAAGGUAGAAAUGGAAGCAUUGGAGAAAAACAAAACUUGGGAUAUUGUGGAAUUACCAAAAGGAAAAAGGUUGGUCGGGUGCAGAUGGGUGUUUACUGUGAAAUAUAAGUCAGAUGGGUCCAUAGAAAGAUAUAAAGCACGUUUGGUAGCAAAGGGUUAUACACAAACCUAUGGAAUUGAUUAUUUGGAGACUUUUGCCCCAGUGGCAAAAAUGAAUACAGUGAGAAUUUUAUUAUCAUUGGCUGCAGUUUUUAAUUGGAACCUACAACAAUUUGAUGUAAAAAAUGCCUUUUUACAUGGAGACUUAGAUGAGGAGAUUUACAAAGGUAUGAUCAAGCUAGGGUAUCGACAAAGUCAAGGAGACCACACCUUGUUCAUACGACACUCAAAAACAGGAAAAGUGACAGCAUUGUUGGUUUAUGUGGAUGACAUCAUAGUAACAGGUGAUGAUUCAGAGGAGAUACAAAAUUUGAAGAAGUGUUUACUCAAGGAAUUUGACAUCAAAGAGCUUGGGAAAUUAAAGUAUUUUUUGGGAAUCGAAGUGGCACACUCAAAACAAGGAAUCUUUAUUUCCCAACAAAAAUAUGUGCUUGAUUUGUUGAAAGAAACAGGAAAAUUAGGGUGUAAACCAGUGGCUACACCAAUUGAAUACAAUCAUAGAUUGUGCAAUGCUCCAGAAGAUUCAGUGGUAGAUAAAGGCUUGUAUCAAAGGCUUGUAGGGAAAUUGAUUUACUUGUCCCAUACAAGGCCGGACAUUGCAUUUGCUGUAAGUGUUGUUAGCCAAUUUAUGCAUGAUCCUAGAGAAAUGCAUCUUCAAGCUGUCAACCGGAUUCUACAAUAUCUUAAAGGAAGUCCAGGAAAAGGAAUAUUAUUCAAAAGAGGAGGAAACAUGGUUUUAGAG
rnacentral:lncRNA from 1 species